GGCAGACAAGACCUCAGAAAAAGAACACCAAGAAGCAAUUGAACAUGUUGAUGAAGUACAAAAUGAAAUAGACAGACUUAAUGAACCAGCCAGUGAGGAAAUUUUGAAAGUAGAACAAAAUAUAACAAACUCUACCAACCGUUUUUUCAGGAGAAGUCAGAAUUGAUCGCCAAAAUUCCAAAUUUGGGGGUAACAACAUUUGUCAAUCAUCCAUAAGUGUCUGCACUGCUUGGGGAGGAGGACGAGGAGGCUCUGCAUUAUUUGAGCAGAGUUGAAGUUUAAUUUGAAGACAUUAAAUCAGGUUGCAGAAUAGAGUGAUGAAAAUCCUUACUUUGAAAAUAAGGUUCUCUCCAAAGAAUUCCAUCUGAAUGAGAGUGGUAACCUGUCUUCAAAGUCCACUGAAAUCAUAUGGAAAUCUGGAAAGGAUUUGACAAAACGCUCAAGUCUAACGGAGAAUAAGGCCAGCAGGAAGAGGCAGCAUGAAGAGCCAGAGAACUUCUUUACCCGGUUUACUGACCAUUCUGAUGUACGUGCUGACAAGUUAGGAUAGGUCAUCAGAGAUGAUAUUUGGCCAAAUCCCUUGCAGAACUAUUUGGUUCCCAAUAUGGGUGAUGAAGGAGAGAGGAGAGGAAGGAGGAGGAGCAGGAGGAGGAGGAGGAGGAGGAGGAGGAGGAGGAGAGAAGGAGAGAAGGAGAAGGAGACACAGAGAAGGAAAGGUUGGAAGAUAUUGAUGAAGUAGAU
rnacentral:lncRNA from 1 species